rnacentral:rRNA from 1 species
GAUGAACGCUAGCUACAGGCUUAACACAUGCAAGUCGAGGGGUAACGAGAGGGAAGCUUGCUUUCCUUGUCGACGACCGGCGCACGGGUGAGUAACGCGUAUCCAACCUGCCCCCAACUAGGGAAUAACCUUGCGAAAGUAAGACUAAUACCCUAUAAUUUACUCAGAUGUCAUCUGACGAGGAAUAAAGAUUUAUCGGUUGUGGAUGGGGAUGCGUCUGAUUAGCGUGUUGGCGGGGUAACGGCCCACCAAGGCAACGAUCAGUAGGGGUUCUGAGAGGAAGGUCCCCCACAUUGGAACUGAGACACGGUCCAAACUCCUACGGGAGGCAGCAGUGAGGAAUAUUGGUCAAUGGGCGGAAGCCUGAACCAGCCAAGUAGCGUGCAGGAUGACGGCCCUAUGGGUUGUAAACUGCUUUUAUACAGGAAUAAAGUUAGCCACGUGUGGUUAUUUGUAGGUACUGUAUGAAUAAGGACCGGCUAAUUCCGUGCCAGCCGCCGCGGUAAGAC